rnacentral:rRNA from 1 species
CAGUCGCCGCGGUAAGACAGAGGAUGCAAGCGUUAUCCGGAAUGAUUGGGCGUAAAGCGUCUGUAGGUGGCUUCUUAAGUCGGAUGUGAAAUCCCUGAGCUUAACUUAGGAAUUGCAUUUGAUACUGGGAAGCUAGAGUAUGGGAGAGGAUGGUAGAAUUCCAGGUGUAGCGGUGAAAUGCGUAGAGAUCUGGAGGAAUACCGAUGGCGAAGGCAGCCAUCUGGCCUAAUACUGACGCUGAGGUACGAAAGCAUGGGGAGCAAACAGGAUUAGAUACCCCCGUAGUCCCUGUCUCUUAUAU